rnacentral:rRNA from 1 species
UACGUAGGGUGCAAGCGUUAAUCGGAAUUACUGGGCGUAAAGCGUGCGCAGGCGGUUAUGUAAGACAGAUGUGAAAUCCCCGGGCUUAACCUGGGAACCGCAUUUGUGACUGCAUAGCUGGAGUACGGCAGAGGGGGAUGGAAUUCCGCGUGUAGCAGUGAGAUGCGUAGAUAUGCGGAGGAACACCGAUGGCGAAGGCAGUCCCCUGGGCCUGUACUGACGCUCAUGCACGAAAGCGUGGGGAGCAAACAGG